CAUGUGGUUUAAUUCGAUGAUACGCGAGGAACGUUACCUGGGCGUCGAACGUAAGAUGACUGUAGGUGAAAGCUUACAUCUCUUCGGAGCAUUUUACGAGGUGCUGCAUGGUUGUCGUCAGCUCGUGCCGUGAGGUGUCGGGUUAAGUCCCAUAACGAGCGCAACCCUACCUUUAGUUGCCAUCAGGUUAAGCUGGGGACUCUAAAGGAACUGCCUACGCAAGUAGUGAGGAAGGCGGGGAUGACGUCAAAUCAGCACGGCCCUUACGUCCAGGGCUACACACGUGCUACAAUGGCCGAUACAGAGGGCAGCUACCUGGUGACAGGAUGCAAAUCUCCAAAGUCGGUCUCAGUUCGGAUCGGAGUCUGCAACCCGACUCCGUGAAGUUGGAUUCGCUAGUAAUCGCGCAUCAGCCAUGGCGCGGUGAAUACGUUCCCGGGCCUC
rnacentral:rRNA from 1 species